rnacentral:rRNA from 1 species
UACGGAGGGUGCGAGCGUUAAUCGGAAUUACUGGGCGUAAAGGGUGCGUAGGUGGUUAAUUAAGUUAUCUGUGAAAUCCCUGGGCUCAACCUGGGCAGGUCAGAUAAAACUGUUUAACUCGAGUAUGGGAGAGGGUAGUGGAAUUUCCGGUGUAGCGGUGAAAUGCGUAGAUAUCUGGAGGAAUACCGGUGGCGAAGGCGGCAUCCUGGACCGACAUUGACGCUGAACGGCGAAAGCUAGGGGAGCAAACGGG